CCUCAUCAACUGUAUCGUCUGCUCCAUCUGCGCCAUCUGCUCCAUCAUCUGGAUCUGGAAGCGCUGAUAGUCGUCGACGCAUGCAGCCAACUCCUGAGCUCGCUAUCGAUCCUCGACAGCCUGUCUCUGCACCUCCAUCAACCGAGCUUCGCACGUAGAAUGGAUGUCCUCUCUAGAUGUGCAUGAGGAUGAAGGAGCAGUGAUCCCAUACCCCAGACUCCUAGC
rnacentral:lncRNA from 1 species